AACGAACGCUGGCGGCGGGCCUAAUACAUGCAAGUCGAACGAGAAAAUCCGGCUUCGGCUGGGUGAGUAAAGUGGCGAACGGGUGAGUAACACGUGGGCAAUCUACCCUUAAGUUUGGGAUAAGCCCUCGAAAGGGGGUCUAAUACCGGAUAAUAUCCGGAGAUGGCAUCUUUUCCGGAUCAAAGGCGGAGCAAUCUGCCGCUUAGGGAUGAGCCCGCGUCCCAUUAGCUUGUUGGUGAGGUAACGGCUCACCAAGGCUGUGAUGGGUAGCCGGCCUGAGAGGGUGAUCGGCCACACUGGGACUGAGAUACGGCCCAGACUCCUACGGGAGGCAGCAGUAGGGAAUAUUGCGCAAUGGACGAAAGUCUGACGCAGCCACGCCGCGUGGAUGAUGAAGCUUUUCGGAGUGUAAAAUCCUGUCAGUGGGGAAGAACCGGUCGGGGAGUAACUGCCCCGGCCCUGACGGUACCCGCAGAGGAAGUUCCGGCUAACUCCGUG
rnacentral:rRNA from 1 species